UGGUCCUACGGGAGGCAGCAGUGGGGAAUAUUGCACAAUGGGGGAAACCCUGAUGCAGCGACGCCGCGUGAGUGAAGAAGUAUCUCGGUACGUAAAGCUCUAUCAGCAGGGAAGAAAAAAAGUCUUUGGCUUUGGACGGUACCUGACUAAGAAGCCCCGGCUAACUACGUGCCAGCAGCCGCGAUAAUACGUAGGUGGCAAGCGUUGUCCGGAUUUACUGGGUGUAAAGGGCGUGCAGCCGGGAGUGCAAGUCAGAUGUGAAAUCCCGCGGCUCAACCGCGGAACUGCAUUUGAAACUGUGCUUC
rnacentral:rRNA from 1 species